AACUUCAUAGCAUAUGGAGAGUACUUUGUCAGACAAAUGAAUGGUUCACAGUUCUCAUCUUUCAGAUAACAGUAUAAAAUAAAAUGAAAUACUAUAUUUUAAGUGAUAUUCUUAUAUUUAUCAUAAUAGCUUUCGGAAUCUGAUUCCAAAAGUUGAAGUAGGUCCGUAAUUUUGAAUAUGACUUAUGUGCAAAAUUUGAGGUCAUUCAGGCGUGGUUUGAUAGGUUUCGGCAUCGGUUAUGGAAAUUUGCAGCUUCGACAUGCUUGCUUAUGGGUAAUUUAAGUUUUGUUUGAGGGCAUAUUAGACUUUUGAGCUUAUCUGUAUACGUGCCUUUUCCAUAUUUACCCAACUACUACGUGUAGCGUUUACGUUAUUACAGAGGUGGGUUUUAUUGGAUUUGCGUACAUCAUCAGAUAUCUUCGUCUUCCUCAUCUUUUCAACUUGUGCAGGUGCUUUUCUUAUUACUUAAUAUGAAUUUUAUUGUUUUCUAUCUCUUUCUAGGUGCUGCUGAAAAUUUAAGGAGUUUGAGGAGUUUAAGAUUAUAAAUAGGUCAUUUCACAUGACCUCUAUACGUGCCCUUUCAUGCGAUGCGCAGAUACUACGUGUAGGUUUUAAGCUAUUCCCACAUGUACACUUUUCUCAUAUCAACGCUGACAGCACCCUUGCCUUGAUAAUCCUAAAGUUUUAAAUUCUUCUGUUCCUCUUCUUCAGUUCUCUACCGUUGUUUCUUUCUUGAUUUUUCCCCAUACCUUUUUGUUCUGCUCAUGGUAGUUAUACAAUAUCUGUAUACGCUUUUCUAUAUCUACCCAACUACGACGUGUAGUGUUUACGUCAUUACAGAGUGUGGGUUUCAUUCGAUUUAUGUACAUCACAAUUUACAGAGCUUCAGAUAUCUUCGUCUUCCUCAUCUCUUCAACUUGUGCAGGUGCUUUUCUAAUUACUUAAUAUGAAUUUUAUUAUUUUCUAUCUCUUUCUCCUUCUUUUUUGUUUCAAAUUCGUUAGAACAGAGUGAAUUAAUUACAGAUUUUCGAGUUAGGGUUUGAUGGAUGAAAUUAGGACUUUUUUUUUUGAGAUGAAUUGAAAUCAAGAAAACAAAUUCUGUUUCUUCACUUGCUUUAUUCCUGUCGGCAUGGUGGCACUGAAGAGCAGUGUUUAACAAUAAUCCACCAUAACCCACCAUAGUCAAAGUAUAGCGUCAAGAAACAACAAAUAAAAUUCAGUUUAUAAUCCUUUUUUAAGUUCAAAUUCAAGUUUGAUCUAAAGCCGUUUUGCUCGAUUGUUGUUAUGCUUCUGCUUUUUAUGCUUAGCUUCUUUGUUUCCCUAAUCAUUAGCUUUUAUUUGAUUUGUUCAUUUAAUGAUUUCUCCAUUUGCUAUUUGAUUUUGGGAUUUGUUGCUUGAGAGAUAUAUAUAGGUAUUGGCGAUUUCGCUCUCUGUGUUUUCGACUUGGGUGGAUUACGAAGGUUUGUUGAUUAGGAUAUCUAAAUUAUAUAUAGUUUAUCAAACAAAGUUGAUGUAUAACGACUGCGGGAAGGAAACUUCAUAGCAUAUGGAGAGUACUUUGUCAGACAAAUGAAUGGUUCACAGUUCUCAUCUUUCAGAUAACAGUAUAAAAUAAAAUGAAAUACUAUAUUUUAAGUGAUAUUCUUAUAUUUAUCAUAAUAGCUUUCGGAAUCUGAUUCCAAAAGUUGGAGUAGGUCCGUAAUUUUGAAUAUGACUUAUGUGCAAAAUUUGAGGUCAUUCGGACGUGGUUUGAUAGGUUUCGGCAUCGGUUAUGGAAAUUUGCAGUUUUGACAUGCUUGCUUAUGGGUAAUUUAAGUUUUGUUUGAGGGCAUAUUAGACUUUUGAGCUUAUCUGUAUACGUGCCUUUUCCAUAUCUACCCAACUACUACGUGUAGCGUUUAUGUUAUUACAGAGGUGGGUUUUAUUGGAUUUGCGUACAUCAUCAGAUAUCUUCGUCUUCCUCAUCUCUUUAACUUGUGCAGGUGCUUUUCUUAUUACUUAAUAUGAAUUUUAUUGUUUUCUAUCUCUUUCUAGGUGCUGCUGAAAAUUUAAGGAGUUUGAGGAGUUUAAGAUUAUAAAUAGGUCAUUUCACAUGACCUCUAUACGUGCCCUUUCAUGCGAUGCGCAGAUACUACGUGUAGGUUUUAAGCUAUUCCCACAUGUACACUUUUCUCAUAUCAACGCUGACAGCAGCCCUGCCUCGAUAAUCCUAAAGUUUUAAAUUCUUCUGUUCCUCUUCUUCAGUUCUCUACCGCUGUUUCUUUCUUGAUUUUUCCCCAUACCUUUUUGUUCUGCUCAUGGUAGUUGUCUUAUCUGUAUACGCUUUUCUAUAUCUACCCAACUACGAUGUGUAGCGUUUAUGUCAUUACAGAGUGUGGGUUUCAUUCGAUUUAUGUACAUCACAAUUUACAGAGCUUCAGAUAUCUUCGUCUUCCUCAUCUCUUCAACUUGUGCAGGUGCUUUUCUAAUUACUUAAUAUGAAUUUUAUUGUUUUCUAUCUCUUUCUCCUUCUUUUUUGUUUCAAAUUCGUUAGAACAGAGUGAAUUAAUUACAGAUUUUCGAGUUAGGGUUUGAUGGAUGAUUGGGACUUUUUUUUCGGAGAUGAAUUGAAAUCAAGAAAACAAAUUCUGUUUCUUCACUUGCUUUAUUCCUGUCGGCAUGGUGGCACUGAAGAGCAGUGUUUAACAAUAAUCCACCAUAACCCAUCAUAGUCAAAGUGUAGCGUCAAGAAACAACAAAUAAAAUUCAGGUUAUAAUCCUUUUUUUAAGUUCAAAUUCAAGUUUGAUCUAAAGUCGUUUUGCUCGAUUGUUGUUAUGCUUCUGCUUUUUAUGCUUAGCUUCUUUGUUUCUCUAAUCAUUAGCUUUUAUUUGAUUUGUUCAUUUAAUGAUUUCUCCAUUUGCUAUUUGAUUUUGGGAUUUGUUGCUUGAGAGAUAUGUAUAGGUAUUGGCGAUUUCGCUCUUUGUGUUUUCGACUUGGGUGGAUUAUGAUGAAAUACUAUAUUCAAAAUUACGGACCUACUCCAACUUUCGGAAUCAGAUUCCGAAAGCUAUUAUGAUAAAUAUAAGAAUA
rnacentral:lncRNA from 1 species